UACCAGCACCCCGAGUGGUCGGGACGUUUAUUGGGCCUAAAGCAUCCGUAGCCGGUUCUACAAGUCUUCCGUUAAAUCCACCUGCUUAACAGAUGGGCUGCGGAAGAUACUAUAGAGCUAGGAGGCGGGAGAGGCAAGCGGUACUCGAUGGGUAGGGGUAAAAUCCGUUGAUCCAUUGAAGACCACCAGUGGCGAAGGCGGCUUGCCAGAACGCGCUCGACGGUGAGGGAUGAAAGCUGGGGGGAGCAAACCG
rnacentral:rRNA from 1 species